GUCCUUAUUUUCUCUAUAACAUGAACCUGGUUCAUAAGUGCUUUUGUAUUACUACGUAUUAAAAAACGAUUGUAUUAAACACGCAAUUUCAACAUACAUGUCAAGUAUACAAAUGCCACCAUGUUAUUGACAUGCAACCAUUAACAAUAUAUACAGUAUACAUGUUCAAACAGUUGUUAACACAUUUAUAGUUCUUAAACCAAUCUACCAUCAAAUCAUCAGAUACUACACUGCACACAUUUAUCCUAAUAUUUGCAUUGUUCAGAAUGAUAAUUUAUUAACGCUCGGUUAUAUAGCAUGUAAAUGAAGUGAUAUUAUACAAAUGAAGCCUUUAUAUGAGGUCGAUACAAAGAUAUAUUGACAUUAAAUGAGUGUAUUGACUGAGGACGAAGUCAAAGGACGAUAUCAUUUGAUUUAUCAUGUGUCCACCUUAUGCAAAAGCUACAAUUUAUAUAUUAAUGAUUCCAAAUCAUACUUGUAUCGAAAUCGUCAGUGCAUUUAAUUCUCGGUUUUCGAUCUUUUAAACUGUUCAGAUAUUUUUAGACAUCAAAAUAAGUUGUUGUCACAAAAUAUAUAUCGGGUUUUAGAAAAUCCCAAAAUAUUCAUGCACAAUAACUCUUCUAUCCACCGUUUUCAAAUGACCUUUGCAAAUAUAAUUUAACAUGUCUCUUUUCUUAAACGAAUCACAUUUAAUUUAGUCAAAAUUUAUAAAUUUAUAAUAUUAAUUCGUAUAAUUUAAAGAUGUCUAGAUCAGCUGAUCAUGUACAAAGAACAUACGAACAGUUACGUCUCUAAUACAAAACUAUCAAACUUAUAUGAACACCACGAUAUGAUUUUGUCAUUAUGCAAGAGUCGGAAACUUCCCUGAAUCCCCUCAAAAUGCAACUUUAUUUGUUUGCCAAGAAUUGAGAAGAGAUAAUUUCCCACUGGGAGAACUUUUUUAGUUAUAUUAUUUGCCUUCAGACAAAUAUACAUUGCUUUAGUGAUAUUUUAAAUUUCGUCUCGAAACUAUUUUCAAAACGAUAUACUCCAUAAUGUAUAAGUAUAGCCUGAGUCAAGUGCAACUACUUCCUUUCAUUUGUUUUUAAAUAGUUUGAAAUAAACAUAAAAAACUAAUUACAAUAAUUUGAAACGUCAGACUGACCUUACGUAUUUAGGAGAGCACUAGAAUCAAAUCAGUUGGUUGUUAAAUUAAAAUAAGAAGUAAUAGAGUAUGAACGUUUUAUACAUUUAUAGAACCAUCUUCGCUAGCUAAGGGUUACGAUCCACUCCCCUCCUCUCCACCCUUGGCGGAUUGAGAUAGAAUUUCGGAGACACUAGGCAACGAUUUCCAUUUGUUGCAGUCAAAACUCGC
rnacentral:lncRNA from 1 species